UUCUCUCUCUCUCUCUCUCACUCUCACUUUCUCUCUGUCUAUUUCCCUCUCCCCUUUCCUGCUGUGUCGCACUUCUCUUUCUCUUUCCAUAAGACGUACCUCUCUCUGCUCCCUUCUCAUUUGUCUUUCAAUUUCUCCCACAUGUGCUUAUCUGCUUCAGAUGUGCUGCUGUACCUUUUGCAUUGAAGAAAGUUUCUGAUGUUUUUUCUUUUUCUGUCCUGUUGGACUGAGAACAGGCGUGCACAGCUUCUUCAGCUGGGCUUUCUACAGUGAAGGGGGCAGGACUCGUGCCGCACACAUAUAUACACACACACACACGUGUUCCUGUCCGUUCAAUGGGUGUAUGCUGUGGGAACGGAGAUGGGGAGGUCCCUGCGUUCUUCACGGCCCGGGCAGCCGUGUUGUCAGGGACGGGCCCCGGGUGAUGAAGCCUGUGAGGAGUUUGCAGAGAUGUUCCAUUCAACAAUGCACCUCUUCUAUCUGUCUCUCUCCUGCACUCUCUCUCUCUUUUUCUAUCUCUCACUCCCUCUCUGUCGCUGUUUGGUCAUUCUGACGUCCGCUUCACAGCAUCUCUUACUGGCGCUGCAGGAGUGUUUCCUGUGCAGUCUGAAGCCUGAUUCCCCCCAAAUCUCUCCUUUUGCUCCUCACGUACUCUGAGACUGAAGACGACACGCUUUCUACGUCUGUGGCUGUUUUUUUUAAAUCUACUGAAAUCUUCUGCCACUUUGAAUUCGAAAUCAUCCUCCAGUAGCGUUGCAAGUGAAGACGAAGCGGGUCCCUUUCUCCGAAACGGAUUUAAAAAGAUGUACCUUGCUUUUUUGUAAACUACAUUUUGUCCAGGAUGGUAUCCGCAAUAGCACUGCAAAUAUUGAGUGUAUUUCUGUGCUUGUACGACGUCUAACAGCAUAGCAGAAGGGUUCCAGACGUCCUUUGCCCAAAGGUCAAGGGCAUGGGAUUGUAUCUCAAGCUUCUGUGUCGUCAUGUUGGUUUCUAGAGAUCUCCAGACUUAUGGCACGUGUGUGACUGCACACACACGAGCGAGGCUGGCACAAAGCAGCUCAACCGACUAGAUUUCAUCAGCUGCAUCCAUUUAUAGUCAUCAUCAGCGGCUUUAGUCACUGAAACAGCAUCUUUCUUUUUACAUUUCUGUGUGCUUUUAUUUUAUUUAAAAAAAGGUGUUAACAAGACAAGCAGAAAUGUCUGGUUUCUUGUUUAACUUGGUUACUAUGCUUCUCUGAAUCAUUGUUUCCGGCACUGAAAGGGUUAGUAAGUCUGUGAAUUCUCCCCUGCCAACUCCCAGGCAGUCGAAUAAGUAACCCAAUUCGGAGGCAUCCGCUCGGGGAAGGGCGUGUAUCUGCCUCCCCCCUCGCCCUGAUUCCUCUGCGCUCCUCUCCUCCUCCCGAAGCUGUGGUUAGCCCUGCCCUUACGGGUCAUGUGACUUCUCUGAAACUCCCUCCUCCCCCUGCCUCCCCCCGUGUUUCCAGUAAACUGCUGAAAGGAGGGGCUGAGUCAGUCUUCAACCAGCUUCCCUUUGACCACAGCUUGUUAAAGAAUUUGUCAACGUGGACUCCAGGGUGCACAUUUUUUUCCUCCUUGUGAUAGCUAGAUUUAAAAAAAAAAAUUGUCUCUCCCUCUCUGGAACGGCUCGAUUACGUCAGGCAACCAUAAUCACUUCCUGCGCUACACCGUAGAGAGAGAGAGAGAGAGUGAGUCUGUGUGUGCGUGUGUGUGUGUGUGUGUGUGUGUGUGUGUGAGCGGCUCACAUAAAGGACUUUGAUAUUUGGCGGCAUGUGUGCCAGAGACAUUUGUCUUGGUGCCUGUCUGAAAGGGUUUCAUUCAGAAAAAAAGACGGGUCUAAUAAUCUGAGAAAGGGGGGAAAAGAACAAUUUAGUUUUUAACCUGAUUACGAUCUUCCUGUAAUUCUCCCAGCUGGCGAUCUGAUUAUACGGCAUUAGAUCAUGCGUAAUAUUUGCUUUUGCAAACUCACUUGCUCCGCAGACAUACAAAUGAACUUUCUGUAUAAAGGAAACGGAAACGGAUGCAAAUAAACUCUAAACUACCAUUGAAAUCUGUUGCCUUAAUUUAUUACAUAAAAUAUGUGACGAAGAGACAAAAUUGUUUUAAAGGGUUAGUUAACCCCAAAAGUGAAAUUCUGUCAUCAUUCACUCAUUUAGUUUGCCAUUUGUAGUUAAAAACCUGUAAGACUUUCUUUUUCUCUGAAACAAAAAAGAAGAUAUUUAGAAUUUUUUUUAUUUUUCAUAUAAAGAAAGGGAAUGUAGUCAAAUGUUGUUUUGGAUCCCACUGAGUUUCUUUAUAUGCAAAGUGCUUAAAUGAUGAUAGAAAUGCAACUAUUCCCUUUCAGGUAAAUGUUGAUGUGUAUGUAUAUAUUGUUACCAAGGUGCCAUUGACGUAAGGGGAAGCUGUAAUUGUAGAAUGUAGCAUGGAAAGAGGAAUAUUAUUAGGUGCGAAUGUCGAUUAGGGAAGUCUUUAUGGUCUCUAUGCAUCAAUCUUCGUCAUUUCUCUGGUAACACAAGUCGUUUGUGACUUGCUGUCUGUCACUAAAUAUAAGUGCAGUAUUUUUGGGAUAAAACCGUUCAGAAGUUUGCUCAGAAAUGUAUUCUGGUAAAUCUGUGUCCUGAAAUAUGCUCAAAACUGCGUACAAAAAAAAAAAUAAUAAAAAAUGAUAUGCCCUGUGAACUUACGAACCCUCUGAACUUAAAAACAAAGCCCUAAGAAAAAAGAAAAAAAAAAGUGAUGAUGACCAUCAUCAAGAGCUUAAAAAAAAAAAAAAUGCUGAAUAGUGCUGGAAACAUAUCAGAGAGCUGAAACUGUCUCCCAUGGUUUUACUGAAGGCGCACCUUUGACGAGAUCUCUUAAAUGUAAUUGCUGGUAAACCCUGCCCUGAGGGAUGCUGGGUCGGAGCUGGUAAAUGCGGGGAGGUUGUGGCGGCUGAACACUUUGCCAAAUGGUAAUUUUCCAUGUGCAUGAGAAAAAGUUUGAAAUAGAUUGAAAUAAAAAAGAACAAGCAGCCUGGUUAUUCAUUCAUCGUGUCAGAUGCCCACUGUUGUGGUUAGAGAGGGAAACUUCCCACUAGAAUUAUGAAUACGUCACAUAGCGGCAUGAUUACAUGUGUACCGCUCUAUAAAACUCUGAAAUAGCUGCUAGAUGUAGCUCUCAUCAGUUUUCUGUAUUAAAGUUUGGCUGUACAGCCAGAUAAAUGACUAAGGGAAAUUAGUCAGCGGCACAAGGAAUACAAAACAUUCUGAAAAUAACUUUCGGUCGGUCGCAUGGGGUCUGUUUUGAUUUUAAUAUUGGGAAUAAACACAUUUAGCUGUGUCUGUUCAGGAUGGGCAGUGAGUGAAUAGUGUAAACAGAUGUCUGGAGAUAAAAGAUACCUUUGAAGAUAGAUGAGAGACUUGUGACUGGACCUGAAUGCAGUGAUUUAGUCUUGACAUUACUCAGCAGUUAUGCCCGUUUGAAAGUGACUCACUGCUCGGAGCAGAAAGAUGUGUUUGUAACGGGGAUGGGCAUGAAUGUCGCUCUUUAAUCAGCCGCUUUCAUCUUGCGGUUUAAAGCUGAUCCGGAGUGCCCAAGCUCGAAACAAGACAUUCCUCUCUUACCAACCUGACAUUUGCGACAACCAUUUUUUGUCUGGUUUACUGUAAAAAAAAAAAAAAAAUGAACAGAAGAAUCUAUAGAAAGAGAGAGAGAGAGAGAGAGAGAAACGGCAAUGGAAUGAAAUGUGCUGUUGCUAUGUGUCCAAACAGUCUUUGUGAUUGGACAGAACAAAUUUGGAAUUUUCAAGUUCGUCCAAUCAAAACACAGCUGUUCUGCCUGCUCCCCAUCACCCCUCCUUUCUCUCUCCUGCCAGCUUUUCUUGGACCGAUUUGAUGUCCAUAUUAGGUUUGAUUCAGUAAAAAUCCCCUCCCAUGCUCUUCGACCAUUAUAUCAAGUGCUAAUGUACUUUUAUCUCUAGCAGCAAAAAGCAUUCUCUGCCUAUGUACAGUAAAUGAAUUAAAGAUGAUCUCAUUGGCCCAUGUCAUCAAUAUAUUAAUUGUAUUUGCCACCUGUCAGUGAUUCUCGCUGUGCCCCUUCUCCUUUUCAUGAGGAGAGGGUGUUAAACAUUUAUUUUCGAUCAUACGAGAUAAACUAAGAAUUCUGUGUAUUAAAAUGAUUUUGAUUGAAAAGCAUGUAAAUGCAUUGAUCCUCAGAUGAACAGUGAAUGUUUAAUACUUGCAGAAGGAUUAUGAAAUGCAUUCAUAGAAGAGACAAGUUCUAGAGUGUUUUUGCAAUGAAAUAUUAUUUAGAAUAAUUUUUGUUAGCAUCUUUAAACAUUUAUUUCAUUUUCUUUGUAUUAUAAAAAUACUCUCACAUUUUCAUUAUAAAAUAGAUCUAUAUAUAUAUGCUAAUAAUAAAAGCAAAAUAAACUACUACAAAUUCUGCUAUUAGAAAAAUAUUAACCUGAAAUCUGGUCCUGUCAGUUAGACAGAUCAAAAUAAAUCAAAUCAAAUCUAUAUAUUUGUCAAUUUGUUAUUUAAACCUAUUAAAAUAAUUGAUGUCUGCUAAACUUAAAUGCUGCUGUUUAUGCAGACAUCCAAACAUUUUCCUUUCAAAUCUGCUGUUAUAAUCUUUUCCUAGAUUUUUUUCUUCUUUUUUCUUUAUAUAGUUUUUUUAUAUAUGUAUACCACCCCUCUUCCCAGAAAGGGUAUCAGCAGGAAAGUCCAUGUCAUUUCAGUAAAAUAGCCUUUUGUGAGGAAUAAAGCUUCAGAUAUUUCAAGCUUUCAGUGACUCACUGGAAGCACCUAGGCGCCUGGUCUUGUCCCCCAUUCCAAUUCAAAUGGAAAUUUUAAAUGUGUCAUUCAAAGAUUCAUGGAUCUUUCUGAUCUUUGCCAUCAGAGCAGACUUUGCAAUCCGAGAGAUUCCUCAGGAAUUCUUAGCCGUCUUUCUAUCUCAUAUCUAUGUCGUGGAUCACCUCUGGACACUUUCCUAAACUCUUUUUGGAAUUUAUUUUCAGUGCUUUAAGAAAAAAAAAACAAUGAUGAAGACACACACUGAGAAAGUCUUUGUGAUACCUUCAGCAAGCACAUAUAGUGGAGCAGAUGGUGGCCCUCAUUGGAUUUCAUAUCAUCGAUGACCGGCAUCUUGAUCAUCCUGUUCUUGAGGAUCAUCAUCCUUCCCUGCAUGUGUUUGAAUCAUCUCCCAUUUCCUGUUGCUGAUGUCACUCAGUAGGGAGAUGGACAGACACACAGGAGCCAGUAUACUAAUGAAAUGACCUCAGAUACCCCUGUCCGCUCACCUGUGCUUUAUCACUGAGGUAACAUAUCCUCAGCAUCACUUAAAUAUGACUAAUCAAUACCAAUCAAUAUAGCAAACCUUGAUAACUUUGUUAGCUUGAUGCACUCAUCCUAGAUAAGAGUUAAACAGGCAUUGUGGGAAGACUUGGUCUCGAUCUGCUGACAUACACACAUUAAGUGCAUUUGCACAAUAUGUAUUGGUGCAAAUUAAGAGUCUUGUCAGUUUAGAAAGUUUUUAUUAUUAUUAUUAUUAUUAUUAUUGAACUGAUUUUAACUGAUACUUAAAAAUUGUAUGAUACAAUAUGAUAUGAAAUACAAAUAACUUGUGCUUGGAUUUAUAAUCUAUAGAUUAAAACAUGUAGAGUAUACAUUACUAAUUCACUCUAGAUUUGUAUUUAAUUUAAUAUCAUUUAUAUAUAAUUGCUAUAUUAAAAUGUUUAAUACAAAAGGUAACAUUUUUAAAAACAAAAACAAAUGUUAGACUAAGAAACUAUGAAAGCUGUUACAUGAUCAGAUUUGAGAAACAAUGACGCAUGGCUUUCCUGUAAAUCCUGCUUAAAUGAAACAACUGAUAUGACAAAGAAAAUCUUUUAUUGAUUAUUGAUAACAUACAGUUUUUAACAAUAGUUAAUUACUGACCUGUUAUUUCUCUUCCAAUAUUUUAAUGAAUGCACAUCAGUUGCUUGUAUGUUGUGCAAUGUGAAGUCUUUUAAUUCAUAAGAAAAAUCAUAAAGGAAAUUUAGAACUUGCCAGUGGGUAAAUAUAUGAAAAGUUAGAAACUGAAAUUAUGAUGCAAUUACUGCAAAAUAAGUCAGCACUGUUGAGUGCGCAGAACAGUGUUACACACUUUACAUUUAAUCCAAAAAUGAAGAGAAAUUGCACUGUAAACUAAAUAUUUUUUUUACAAUAUACAUAGUGUGCACUGUACACUAGAGAUUUAUUCACAAUAAACAUUGUGUGCACUGCACACUAGAAAUUUAUUCACAAUAAACAGUGUGCAUUGUACAUUGGAAGUAUGUUUGCAAUGUUUGCACAUUUUAGCAAUUAUUUCACCGUUUAAAUAAAAAAAUCUUAUCCCACCUUCAUUUAGAGAUUUUCUUCUAAUUAACACACAUUUAACAGUGCAAAAAUACACUUUUUUUUUACAUAUCUGAAAAGUAAAUAAUUUAGGUUGCCAAGUUGAUAAUUUGACUUCAAAUUUGAAUGUACUUUUUUAAUCAUCCAAGGGUUACACAGUAGCAGCCGUAACAAAGUUUUUUUUUUUUUUUUUUUACUCACACAAAAGGGACACAAGCAACUUUAGCAUUAGUUAUUUGUCAAUUAUUUUUUUUAUAAUUACUUGCAUGAACAAUUCAUUACAAAUGUAUUUAUACAGUUAGUGUAUAGUGAUGGAAAUAUCUGUCUGGAAAUAGGUUUUGGAGUGACUAUUCAUUUAUAUAAUUUAAGUUAGCAAGAUAUACAGUUUUAACACAUUUCUUACAGAUUUUUUUUAAUCAUAUUUUAUACAGGUUUUUUUUAUUAUUCUAUUUAGUAGAAAACAAAUGCAACAAAAAAAAUACAUUCCAUCUCUCUGCAGCAUUUAAUUGUCGUAACAUCUCAAAACGGAUUUUCCUUCCUACUCAGAUAUGAACUAUAAUUCAGGUUCUGACUCUAUAAGUGGUUUUUCUUCUGAUAACCCCAUGAUAUAUACUUUCAGCAGAAAUAAUGCUUUCCCACCAUAAAAGAUGUUUUCACUCCAAAACCAUGCCAGAUAAAUUUUUGGAAAUAUUUCAAGUACUCACUUUUAUUGCCCCUCAUUGUACAAAUCGCAUGGGUUCCACCGUGAGCAAAAUAUGCUCUUAGCAAGCAUUUUCCAAGACAUAUCACAACACAUUUUGUCAUUUAAAAAUAUAAAUAUGACCAGAUCAUGCAAUGUUGACAGAGAGUAUAUAUCUCUUAGUCCAGCAUGUUUUCCCAAAGAGAUCCCUGCCCCAGAACGUUCCAGAAGUGAAAAUCCUUGUUUUAUGGACAUGGAGAUAAGUCCUCAUGGUUUAGUAGCGUGUUUCUGACGGUUAUUGAGUGUAAGGUCUGACUCGUACAGGCACUGACUCACCAUGGCUCAUCGGACAAGGCUCGAUUGGAGCCCGCCAAUUUCUCAAACACAAAGAAACAAGUUUCUGAUCUGACUCUUUGUUCUAGCACAGCAGCGUUUCGCUAUAGCUGUACUGCAAAACCCUGCUGACAGAAACAAAAAACUAAUGAUGGUUUAGAUCUGAGAUUAGGCAUCAGAUGUGCUAAUGCUAGCUUCUCUGAGUGUUUACAGUUGGUUGGAUUUUGGUAUGUUCUCCUCUGAGGUGUGUGGGUGUUGGUUUUAAUGGUGGAUCUUCAGUAAUGUCCUUAUAAGCCUGCAUCAUUUUGCUUUUCCAUUUGCAGUUUUGGGGCUUGAUGUGUUUGCGUUUAGUUGACCCACAUCAUGGGUGGAUGAUGAUAGUGUGUUUGGUUAAUGAUUUAACAAAAUAACCGGUAUGAGCUCAUCUACUGUUUAUCAGUGAAGUUGCACUUUCGGAAACUCGAGUGGGCAGAGGGGCUUGUUUGCGUCUGUGAAAUGAAGAGUUCAAAGAGACCGUUAUCGGCCACAUGACUAUGUAAAGUGAUAAAACAAAGGUCCAAAUGUGUCGGAGAGCAUCAGGUCUAUUAAAAAAAAUGUGAAUGUCAUUUUAAUAAUAAAUUCCUUGAAGAAUCUUGCUUUUAGUUUAAGACAUACAUAUAUAUAAAUAAAUAUAUUAUUUUUAAUUUAUUUCCUAGACUUGUUUGGGAGGGGCCAUUUGCCAUGCCAGGGCAAUCUCCUUCUCUUUUCCUUUCCAUGUGAUUGUGUGUGUGUGUCUGUGUGUGUGUCUCGGUUGGAGGGGGGGAAGGGAGGGGGAAGUGUAGGUAGUGGCUAAAUCUUAUAAAAGGGUUUCCUAAUAUGGGCUGUCUCUCACAGAGCCCCGCCUUCCUGCUGGGAGUAGGUGGGGUUUACACACUCUCUCGACCAGUAAUCACACAGCAUGGACUUAACUUCCUCAUUAAUUGGCUGAAACCAGUUCUUACAGGAACCGCCAGUGAUAAAUGUGAGAGUUCUGAGAAAUCAUUCAUUUCUUCCUUCAGCCUAGCUGAGGGACAUUACAGGGGAGUGUGGAUGGCUCCGUGUGAGCAUGCUUUCAGGACAAGCCUUUUUUUUUCUUCUCGUGUGUCUCUGUGUUUUUUUUUUCUCCCUUCCAUCAUUUUUUUUUUUAAAUGCUUAGGAUAUAUAGUUCCCAGAACAAGCUGUACUUUACAGAUCUUUUUCCUGCCUUAUUUGAGUUUCUGUCUUUUGGGAUAACAGAGCUCGGUCUCUAUCUCCCUCUCUCUGUGAGUGGAGAGAGGAGAAUCGGGGUAAAGGAAACUCACUGACCUUUCAGAGUCGGUAAGUGAAAUUUAUGUGACCUCUCUCUCUUUCGCUCUCCCUCCCUUUCUUUCUCCGCUCUCGUCCCCUCCUCCUCUUCUCCUUUUCUGUCACAGAGCUUUUCCCCUGUUUGGCGCCUCUCUACAGAAGCCUUUCAGGGAGUACCUUGAAGCCCAGAGGGCAAAAUUACAACACCGGACGGGCGGCGCACAGAAGAGGCCACCCCAAUCGUAAGUCCCAUCACUCAUCUCUUUUAACCUUUAAAUUUGCCUCAAUCCCAGACGUGGCUUUUGUAUUUUUGUUUAUUUUUCCACCAUUCCUCCUUUUAAUUUAUUACGCGCACCCCUAUUUCUCUUUUGCUCCACAUCCUAAUUACCUCCCUGCCCUAAUUAUCGCUUUGAGACUGGUUUUAUUCUACCGUGUGAUUCUGUUGAGGUGUUAUUGUUUGCAUGUGGCAGACCGUAGUGUCAGGGGCUCCGCGAGGGCCGUGCGGUGGUUGGUCGCGGGGGCCUGUUCGGGGUCUGGCUGAGGAGGGAUGCUGAGUCAUACUCCGAGCUCUUUGAGUGAACCGGACACUCCCCCACGUCACACUAACUCACCCCCCUCCCCCCCCCUCAGCAGCCGAACCCUGUUGAACCCAGCGCAGGCUGCCGGAGACGGGAGGGGCCCCUGGGAGUAAAAGAAGAAGAAGGAGGAGGGUCGGGGGAUGUUGGGAAGGGAAGCAGCAGGAGGAGGAGGGUUGGGGGAGGUUGAGGCUAUACUCACGAUUCCUGCCACCGCUGUUCCCUCACAAGUGCGCACAGAAACAAAGAGCUACACCUUUUUUUUUUUUACCUUCGUCUGCCCAUGUGCGAAUCCUUCGUUUCAUCUAAAGAGCUUUUCCAGUUUGCGUGCAUGUGUGUGUACGUGUGGGAGGAGGAAAUGAAAGAGAGAGAAAGAAAGAGAUGAAGUUGCACAAUGAGAGAUUACGGAUGUUUCUGGAACAAUGUUCCUUUUUUCUGGUAACUUGAACCUACUGCUGUUACUUAAGGAAAGCUGCGGGCUUGUUCAACCGGCAGGAGGAAACGAUGCCACCGUGCACGUGUCACUAACGUAAAUCUUGUUUUAAAGAAUCAGAGAGAGAUUGGAGGGAAAUGCACGUGGAGAUGAGUGAUUGCUUAACCUGAGAUGUUUCUGAUGAGUUAAUGCAUUGAUGAUGAAGCAUAAUCGACUGUCUUUUACUCUCUCCUUACAGGUUUUAGAAGAUGGUGAUCAGCAUAGUGCAUCAUAGACUUUUGGUUUCCAACGACCUUAUAAAGCAAAACUAAAUCAAGGAACUAAAUUUACCCUAAAAUCCAACAGCUUCCUCAAUCUCAUGACAGCCACUGCUAGAAUAAUAGGUUUAUUUUUCUCAAUUUUCUUUGAGGUUUCUAUUGUAACAUGGCUAUCGGUUAACAUUUUUACUUUUUAAUGUGCUUGCUAGCUGGUGGUUUGUACUGAUACUCAUGUUCUCAGCUCUAUCUUGCACAGGUUAUCUGAUCCCAAUGGUUUAAGGUGCACUGUGGCUUAUGUUGUGUGUGGUCUGUUACAUUUAAGGGACAGAUUGCAAAUUUUAAAAUUCGUUGUUAGUGACUUUAUGUGCUUUUAAAAAUCCAGCAUAUUCCAAUUCACAGUGCUCGUAUAAUUUUAGAUUCAGAAUUUGAAUUUAGGUAGCAAUAACAGGAAGUUAAUGUAAAGUAACACUGACUCUAAAGUCGCUUGCGUUACAUUAGUUCUUCUGAGGAAAGAUCGUCUUGCGUUCUAAAGCUUGGUGAAUCAUAAUGUUCCUUUCGUCUAGAGUUAUUGUUUUGUUUCCAGAGAUCCAAAGAGGAGAGGGAGAAGGAGUGUGUGUGUGUGUGUGUGUAACCACAUGACUCACUACAGGGCCACUCCACCAGAUGCAAUUACGCAUUCAAUAAGAUUAAGAAGCGCGUGUGUUCGGGCACAUAUGUGCGUAGGCGGCUGCCACGUUUCGCGCGUAGCUCGUUAUCGCUCAUAUUCUAUAGGUUACAUCCGAUGAGCAUCCGGUCACGCGGGAGGAUGCUCGCAGCUCGCUGCUGGAUUGGAUUUGACUAACAGAUUGUCUGUCAAUUUGAAAGGUUAGUAUCUAGCCUCUUUUACAGUGUCGAGUAACUUAGUUAAAACGAAUGCAACGCUAGCGCCGUGGUGGUCCCCAAAACGGCACAUUUUGGACGUCUCUUUAAUCUAGAACACCUGAUUCAACUCGUUAUUAGAGGCUCCGCGUCCUGAAAUGGGUGUGUCAGAUCUGUAGUGUUUGGGGGGGGGGGCACCGGAACCAGAUUUAGAACCACUGCACUGGUGGCAUAACGUAAGGCAGCUAGGCAAACGUCUUGUGCGUCGCUUCUUUUCGCGUCGUUUUUUCUUUUAAUUGCUUGUGAAAUGUUUUUUCGGUGCCUUUUUGUAUCGCUGCCCUGGUAUGUGAGUCUGGAAGCUGCAGGCGUAUAAAAAAAAUGGAACAGUGUGGAGUUUCUUUUGCCGUUACCUUAAACGAACUCUCAGCUGAACUCAAUGCACUGCCCGCUGCUGGAGUAGAGGAGAGGCAGUGUUGCCAGAUCUCGUGAGAAAAGCAGCCCAUUGGAAACAUUCGAUUUUAUUGAUCAGCAUGAAACAUUUAGAUUACAGAGAUUUACAUAAACAGUUUUUAUGACAUUGACUAAUUAACUACGUUUCAUACACUUGAAAAAAAUGCACAUGUAAUUGGAUAUCUGAAUUAAUACAUUUAAAAUCUAAUUUAUACAAAAGUAAUAUGAAUUAAAAAAUGUUGGCCAAGAAAAAUGUAAAUUUGUAUUGUAUUAUUAUGCAAACAAACCCAAAAACGGCAAGGCGCGAUUUCCCGAAUUAAAAAUCGACUUGAUGUAAAGUGGCUUAUAAUACGUGGAUAUGGCAACACUGCUGAGAGAGAGGGAGAGAGCGAAGUGGAGCGCGCGAGAGAGGCUGUAUCUAAAAACCCAGCGAGACAGUCUUUCUAACGUUAGAGCGCGACGAUGCUGCCCCAGAAAAAGCUGUCUAGGUAGGAGCCUCGCUAGGAUUCGAAACACAGCCAGGGUGAGACAGAAAGGAGAAGCAGCGUUCGGUUAUCUCACACAGUGCUUCAUUGAAUGAGGGGAAUAAAGCUUUCGGUUCUUCCAUAACGGGAUUUAAAUCAUUAUAUUGUUAGAAUGUAUGACCACGCCCCUCUUCCAGCCCCACCCUCUCGUCUCAUCAUUGGUAAGUGAGUUAAUUCUUCAUUAUGUUUCUUUAUCGGUGUGGACAAGUCUCUCCCAGUAUGUCAAAUAGCUUAUCAGACUGGUGUUGGCUGUUACAUUCGCCCGGCGACAACAGUCUGUAGGCUGUCUGACAUUUUGGGUUUUUUCAUCCCCCUGUAAACAUCUUCGUUUUUAAUCGCUGUCUGUUUUGUUAUUAUAAGUAGUUGUCAUUUUUAUAACUAUAUAUAUAUAUUUUUUUUACUGAAAAAUGUUUUUUUAUUAUUAUUAUUUAUUGUCUCGAUAUUGUUGUCUAAUUUUAGAGGGGUCGUUAUGAAAGAAUUAUUUCCGAUUUGUGUGUGUGUUUACAGAGCGCGUAAUUGACGUGUUUCUGCGUAGCCUUUCUCGUUGAAGGGCGUGUGUGUGUGCGCGAGCGCACGUUCAAAACUAGGUUUUGUCCACUUGAAUUUCUUGAGAAUCCAGAAAGAACACACCUUAUUGCAACACACUCUGUUAUGACACAUCUUUUUGCCCACCCCUUCAUUUGCACUUGCUCUACAUUUUUUUUCUCUAUGUCAUAUAACUGCUCAGUCGUUAUCUAACAUGAGCAACUGGUAUUUGUUAUUAAAUUAAAAAGAUGUUCAUUAAGCAAUUCCAUCUGUUUUUCUCCAUUGUAAAACCACAGGGUGACCUGCUUGUCUUUCACAGAAGAGUCGUAUCAUUUCCUCUAACUGUUCAGAACAUCCUGUACUUUAGGGAACCCCCUCUGCCAUUCAUGUAUGUCUGUAUGUGUCCUGAGUGUGAAUCAAUAAAGAUGAAUGAAUUAGAUGUCAA